GCGACACUAGCUCAGUUGGUAGAGCGCAACCUUGCCAAGGUAGAGGUCACGAGUUCGAACCUCGUGUGUCGCUCCA
rnacentral:tRNA from 1 species